UACGGGGGGAGCAAGCGUUGUUCGGAUUUACUGGGCGUAAAGCGCGCGCAGGCGGCCGUGUAAGUCGGAUGUGAAAUGCCGGGGCUCAACCCCGGAACUGCAUCCGAUACUGCACGGCUAGAGGUAGGUAGGGGAGAUCGGAAUUCCUGGUGUAGCGGUGAAAUGCGCAGAUAUCAGGAGGAACACCGGUGGCGAAGGCGGAUCUCUGGGCCUUACCUGACGCUCAUGCGCGAAAGCUAGGGGAGCGAACAGG
rnacentral:rRNA from 1 species